rnacentral:rRNA from 1 species
UACGUAGGGUGCGAGCGUUGUCCGGAAUUAUUGGGCGUAAAGAGCUCGUAGGCGGUUUGUCGCGUCUGCUGUGAAAACUCGGGGCUUAACUCCGGGCCUGCAGUGGGUACGGGCAGACUAGAGUGCGGUAGGGGAGACUGGAAUUCCUGGUGUAGCGGUGAAAUGCGCAGAUAUCAGGAGGAACCCCGGUGGGGGAGGCGGGUCUCUGGGCCGAUACUGACGCUGAGGAGCGAAAGCGUGGGGAGCGAACAGG